UUACAGGCAUGAGCCACUGCGCCUAGUCUCUUCACCCAUUUUUAAAUUGGUUGUCUUUGUUGAGUUGUAGGAGUUCUUCAUAGUUUCUGGAUACCAGAUGCCUUUGUGGUUUUGGUGUCUCUCUGCAGGCAACUCCUGUGUUUCUCAAAACCAAACUGCAGGAUUGGGCUGCACCAUGAACUGGGCUAGGCAUCUGAGAUCAGACCCAGGCUCAGCUCCUGCUUCCUGGCUUGUUCUGCCACCCUUGGUGUGUGCCCUCAUCCCUGGAGCCCCAGUUGCCUCAUCCCUAAUGGGGUGUCCUUGUUCAUAUUGAGGUUCUCUGCUGAAGGCUUGCAGUCAGGUACGACUGCAAAUUAAAGUUUCACAAAUCAAACCUGUUGGAAUUUCCAGGUCUCUUGAUGGCCCACUCAGGUUAGCAGCAUGCAGCACAUCCCACCCCAUCAACGUUGAUUGGAAGGGUUUGUCCCUGUGUUGAGCCACAUUGGCAGCUUGUGCAAUGCAAAACCAAGGAGAAGAAAAUGACCCCCCUCCCCCCACCUUGCUGGAUCUAGCAGAGACUAGGCACUGGCGAGGAUGUCACACAGUGGUUUCAACCUCCUGGCUGACAGCAAGACAGUAUCUACUAUCUGUUUUGUGCAGGAACCAUGGCUUUGCUGGGUUAAGUGUCUUCCCCUACCAAGCAGCUGUCCUGGGCUUGAAACCUGGUCUCUGAUGCCAUGUCCCCUCCAACCCCAUCAGUUUGUAAAAAGCCCUACUUGCGGUGUGCAUCAUUUCUGGGCGUCACGGAACGGAGUGGCCAACGGCUUGCGGAGCAACAUGCCCAAGUUUUAUUGUGACUACUGCGAUACAUACCUCACCCAUGGCUCUCCAUCUGUGAGAAAGACACACUGCAGUGGUAGGAAACACAAAGAGAAUGUGAAAGACUACUAUCAGAAAUGGAUGGAAGAGCAGGCUCAGAGCCUGAUAGACAAAACAAUGGCUGCAUUUCAACAAAAAAAGAUACCUCCUACUCCAUUCUCUGCUCCUCCUCCUGCAGGGGCGAUGAUACCACCCCCCCCCAAGUCUUCCAGGUCCUCCUCGCCCUGGUAUGAUGCCAGCACCCCAUAUAGGGGGCCCUCCUCCUCCUGGGAUGAUGCCAGUGGGACCUGGUUCUCAGCAUGUGCCUCCUGCUUACCUUUCCUACAACUCCGAACAAACGCUUAGUGCUCCUGGAAUGAGGCCACCCAUGGGAGGCCAUGUGCCAAUGAUGCCUGGGCCCCCAAUGAUGAGACCUCCUGCCCGUCCCAUGAUGGUGCCCACUCGGCCUGGAAUGACUCGACCAGACAGAUAAGGAUAGAGGGGAGGCCUCAUUCUACCAGUUUUAUAUUACCUGUUCUGCUUCACCAGGAGAUCAUGCUGCUGUGAUGCUGGGUUUUCUAAACAGCAUAAGGAAGACUUGCUCCCCUGUCUGAUCAAAGAGAAUAGUUUUGGAGGGGAGAUGUGGGGCAAAAAAGAUGCAGUUUUCAUUUGUAUUGGGAAAUGUGAAAAUAAAAUUGUCAACUCUUUUA